AUGGACACCACGGUGGCUCCUCAGGGACAUCCCAUGGACACUGGGGUGGCUUUUGGGGACAUCUCUGUCACCCUGGAGGCUCCUCAGGGACAUCCCAGGGACACCACGGUGGCUUUGGGGACAUCUCAUUGUCACCCUGGAGGCUCCUCAGGGACAUCCCAUUGUCACCAUGGCGGCUCCUCAGGGACAUCCCAUUGUCACCUUGGUGGACCCUUGGGGACAUCCCAUUGUCACCAUGAAGGACCCUUGGGGACAUCCCAUGGGCACCACGGUGGCCUCUGGGGACAUCCCAUUGUCACCAUGAAGGACUCUCAGGAACAUCCCAUUGUCACCUUGGUGGAGCCUUGGGGACAUCCCAUUGUCACCAUGGUGGACCCUUGGGGACAUCUCAUGGGCACCACGGUGGCUUUUGUGGACAUCCCAUUGUCACCAUGGUGGACCCUCAGGAACAUCCCAUUGUCACCUUGGUGGACCCCUUGGGGACAUCCCAUUGUCACCGUGGUGGAUCCUUGGGGACAUCCCAUUGUCACCAUGGUGGACCCUCAGGAACAUCCCAUUGUCACCAUGGUGGACCCUCAGGAACAUCCCAUUGUCACCUUGGUGGACCCUUGGGGACAUCCCAUUGUCACCAUGAAGGACCCCUUGGGGACAUCCCAUUGUCAGCAUGGUGGACCCUUGGGGACACCCCAUUGUCACCAUGGUGGACCCUCAGGAACAUCCCAUUGUCACCUUGGUGGACCCUCAGGAACAUCCCAUUGUCACCUUGGUGGACCCUCGGGGACAUCCCAUUGUCACCUUGGUGGACCCUCAGGAACAUCCCAUUGUCACCUUGGUGGACCCUUGGGGACAUCCCAUGGGCACCACGGUGGCUUUUGGGGACAUUGUCACCAUGGCGAACCCUUGGGGACAUCUCAUUGUCCCCAAGAUGGCUCCUCGAGGACACCCCAUUGUCACCACGAUGAACCCUCAAAAACUCCUCAUUGUCACCGUGAAGAACCUUCAGCACCACCCCAUUGUCAUCAUGGUGGCUUUUGGUGCCACCACCCCAUUGUCCCCAAGACAAUCCCUCAAGAACAUCUCGUCAUCUCCAUGAAGAACCCUUGGGGACAUCCCAUGGACACCUUGGUGACUCCUCAGGAACAUCCCAUCGUCACCACGAUGGACUCCUGGGGACAUCUCAGUGUCACCAUGGUGGCACCUCAGAAACCUCUCAUUGUCUCCAUGAAGGACCCUUGGGGGACAUCUGAUUGUCACCAUGCUGGACCCUCAGGAACAUUCCAUUGUCCCCAAGAUGCCUUCUCAAGGACACACCAUGGUGGACCCUCAGGAACAUCCCAUUGUCACCUUGGUGGAGCCUUGGGGACAUCCCAUGGACACCACGGUGGCUCUUGGGGACAUCUCGUUGUCACUGUAAUGGACCCUCAGAAACCUCUCAUUGUCACCAUGGUGGACCCUUAG
rnacentral:lncRNA from 1 species